GGCAGGAAAUGGGAGACCAGACUAGAUGGCCCACUGAUCUGAUGCAGAGUGGCAGGAGGCAGGACACCAGAUUGUAUCUAUCGCUUUAGUACAGCCUAGGAAAGAAGCAUUCUGGGGAUUGUAAUUCCCGUGGAGCACGGACACUCUACACCAGGCAGUGAGGCAUGCAGUGAAAGGGGGACUCUUUCCUGGGGUAUCGCCAACUCCUGUCCCCUGGCCUAUGAACCAUCAAAAGUUCAAAACACUGCAAGCUACAGAGAAGGGAAACAA